rnacentral:rRNA from 1 species
UGGCGGACGGGUGAGUAACGCGUGGGUAACCUGCCUCACACUGGGGGAUAACAGUUAGAAAUAGCUGCUAAUACCGCAUAAGCGCACAGUUCCGCAUGGAACGGUGUGAAAAACUCCGGUGGUGUGAGAUGGACCCGCGUCUGAUUAGCCAGUUGGCGGGGUAACGGCCCACCAAAGCGACGAUCAGUAGCCGGCCUGAGAGGGUGAACGGCCACAUUGGGACUGAGACACGGCCCAA